UUCAUAUGUAUACAUACGUGUGUGAAUGCGUAUGUGUGUAUGAAAAGAUUACCACCAACUCAAAUGGUACAGAUAUGUAUGAAGAAACUCAAGAUAAAUAAUAGUAACAUUUUGAUUAUUGAGUUUCCUUAUAGUUAUCUAAAUUGUUCAAAUUAUUUUCUCAAGCUUCAUGUAUUUUCCCACUUUUAAGCAGGCAAUAACAGAAACUAUCUUAAAGAUAACACAUUUAAAUUUACUGACACACAGUAGGCACCUAAUAAAUAGUUUAAAGAAAAUAAGUAUAAUUCUCAAAAUUCAAUAAAGAUCUUGUCAUUGUGGAGACAAAAAGAACCACGCUUGGAGAGAAGCCAGAGAUAGCUGAGAAGAUGCUCACUCUGUCUUCUCCUUGAAAGAAAAGCCAACACAGAUUUAAGAGGUCCAAAAAUGAUAGAGAGGAAGAGAGAGAGAGAGAAAGAUUUUCAACCUGCUGCUUUUCAACCAAAACAUUGCAGCAAGGGCUGCAAGCCACAUACGUGGAAUAUACUGAGAAUUUAGCAUCUGAUCAUGAGCAAACUCAGAGACAUGGAUGGUCCUUCCUGCUACUUCUUUGAGUUUGCAGGGCUUGGAGGCUGUAGCAGUGAGUGGUGCUGCUGUCCUAAUGUCCUGACUAUACCGGGAGCCACUCUUCGAUCAUUCUUCUGUCCAUUCAGAUGAGUAGAGAUGGGCUGCAUGAACGGUUUUAUCCCCAGGAUCAAGUGGAGCAUCUGGCAUGGAACAGCCAGCCACUCAGUAAGUGCUGGGUGAAUGCAUAAAUAAGUAAGGGAAUGAGUAAAUGAAGGGUUGAGUAUGUGAGUGAGUGAGUGAAUGGGUGAGACAAUGGAUGAAUGAAUAAAUUUGCACCCCAGAAGAAGCUCUGACACAGCUUUGAAUUACUCCUCCAGAUGCGAGGGGCUUUGUGGAGAGCUGUCCAUCAUCCUUGCCUGCCCAAGGACAAUGACUUCUCAGCUUUCACCAUGCAUCCUGCAGCCAUGGAGGGAAGCAAAAUUAACUGGUCUCCAUCAGCCUCCCCAUCAAACAUUUGCUGAGCACCCAUCAUGUGCAAAAUAUUGACUAGGAACUGUGGGAGAUGGGAAGAAUUCUGGAAACUCCUAACUCUCAAGGAAUUUGCAGGGUUAUCAGACAGUUGCCACACAAAGACAUAAAAACAUCCCCUGCUAAAAUAAAGACCACGCCAGAUAUGUGCUGUAGGUAUUCACCCCUGCAGGAACUCUGGGGAAAAUGGGGCAGGAGGAGUCACCCUUGGAUGUCACAAAUGGCUCUCCAAAGGAAAUAGAACAACAUCGCAGCAUGAAUUCUGAAGCCGGCCCACCUGCCUGCCUUGAAUUACAGCUUCCACCAGCUGUCUGGCCUUGGACAAACUACUUAACUCUCCACAUCUGUCAAAUGGGGAUAAUAAUAUAACAAUCCCCCAAUAUUGUGAGGAUGAAAUAAGCUAAUACUUAGGAAAAGCUUGGAACAGUGCUUGGCACGUCUUAAGUGUGAUAUGUGUGAGCUCCUUCCUUGAUUCUCAUUCUGACUUGAAGAGGAUUUUUAGAGGGGAGACCCAGGGAACAGUGGGGCAGCCUAGACGGGUGGAAAGUGUUAUGCUGGAGGCUUAACCUAACCUGGUUCAAAACCUGGUUCUGCUAUUUCUACCAGUGUGACCUUGACUUAAACUCUCCAAAGCUCAGUUCCUCACUUAUAAAAUGGUAAUAACAAAACCAAUUUCAUUGAAAACGUAUGCUAACGAUGCCAUGAUAAAUAAUAGUUAUUAUUAAAGAGAAACACAGUAAAGAAGUUCCCAGAGGGAGGUGAAUAAAUUAAGCAUGAUGACGUGCCUUGCUACUUCCCCAUCUUUCUCUUCUUCCCCCAGAUUUGUUCAAGGUCUCAUCAUUACUGGUUUGCAUUUCUAUUUUAAUCAUGUUAUAGGUUUACAGUAUUUUUCCCCCUGCAUCUUUAUAUGCUAUAAUUUGGGUACUAUUUUUACACAACGAAGCCAUUUUUAACCGAGAACAGAUUCAAUUGUCUUUCAGCAUAUAUCAUUGUUUAUCUUAAUUAAUGCUAAAAUAUUCUUAGGGGGAAAAACACAUCCCACAGAGUAUUAUGCGAAGAAACUUAGCAUUCAUUUUUGCCUCCCUCUUUUCUGGCAUAUCAAUUUAUAAAGGUUUUAGCAUCCUGUUAUUUCAAUGACAAUAAUGCAUGCUCUUAAACGCAGACACCCAUCUGUGGGAAGCAAGUCACAGGGUGUCAACAGCAGCAAGGUGUGUGUUGCAGUGGAGGUGGAGGAUUGACAGCUGGAAGAAGAAGGGGAUUUUGCUGGUGAGAAUAAUGCCAAGUGAAGUCAUAGGCUUUGUCUCUGAUUGAUCCAUGGAAACAUUCCUUGAGUAGAGCUGAAUCUAGCUAGAUUCCAUGCUUGGAGUCUUUCUUAGUAAGGCUACUACUAUAAGCACAGAUGAUGGAAAAUGGAUGAUGUUUUUAUUCAUCAUCCAUUCUCUUUCCUUCAAAUAAGAUGCCCCAUGCACCUCUGAGGGAAUGACCCUUUACACACUCAACCUAAGUUUUUUGCCUCUCCCUCCAGCUCUAGGGUGGGCAUGUGAUAUAGAACUGACCAAUCAAUAUCUAUUAUCUUUCUGGCCACAGUGAUUGGGCAAGGGAUAGCCAUGUGACCCAAUCAGAGCCAAGAGACUCAGUUUUGAGGCUUUAGAUAGAACCACUGGGAAAGAGGGUUCUCUUUCUACUGGGAUGCUGACCUGGCAGGAAUAUUACCCAGAGCUGCCUGUGACCAUCUUUACUAUGAAAAGGGGAGAGCUUGCCAAAGAAUGAAGCUGUAUUAUAGUCUGUUCUCAUGCUGCUAAUAAAGACAUACCUGAGAUGGGGUAAUUUAUAAAGGAAAGAGGUUUAAUGGACUCAAAGUUCCACAUGUCUGGGGAGGCCUCACAAUCAUGGCAGAAGGCAAACGAGGAGCAAAGUCACGUCGUACAUGGUGGAAGGCAGGAGAGCGUGUGCAGGGAAACUCCCCUUCAUAAAACUAUCAGAUCUCGUGAGACUUACGAGAACAACACAGGAAAGACCCGCCCCCAUGAUUCAUUUACCUCCCACUGGGUCCCUCCCAUGACACAUGGGAAUUAAGGGAGCUACAAUUCGAGAUGAGAUUUAGGUGGGGACACAGCCAAACCAUAUCAGAAGCCAAUAUGAAAGAAAACAGAACUGAGAGAUGGAGGCAGACUCUUGAUGACAACUCCUGGACCCUGGAUCAAUUUUUGUUUAAAGCCAGUCUGCACUCUGCAUCUUUGAUGUAAACCAAUGUAUUUCCUUUAUUUGUUUGUUUAAACUAAAUUAAGUCAUUUGUAAUUUAAAGAGUUCAGAGAGGUGCCGUGUUUCAGUAGGGAACUGUAAAAAGCCAGGAUAUUCUGUAAAUUAGAAGGGAAUAAUGUGGUGUUGACCACAUCUGGGAGAAUGUGCAUCUGAGGGUGUCUUGCAUGCCAAACUCACUUGUCUUCCUAAUCAAGCAAUAGUUUGGUAACUGAGAAGUUCCAAGUAGCCUUUAAGUCACACAAUCAUACUAGAGGAACUCCUAAGAACCUGGGUGACAUUGUGAUAUAAAAUGUGGAACUUCACUAGGUUAUGCAAGAACCUCUGAAAAGGGUUGAUAGGAAGGGUGUACGUUAGGUGUGUAAAGAACUAGGUGUGGGGGAACUAACUAGUACAAAAGGGAUCUGGUGAAUUUGGAUUCUACCCUACUCGAGAUGAUGUUGGAGGGCUCUGAUCAAAGUAGGGGUUUGGGGGCAGAAUUAUGACAAGUAUCUAUAGGAAGUCACUAUCUUUUAUUAAAAAUUUGUUGUGAACCUGUCCUCACUCAUAGUUGGGAAUUGAACAAUGAGAACACAUG
rnacentral:lncRNA from 10 species